rnacentral:rRNA from 1 species
AUUGAACGCUGGCGGCAUGCCUUACACAUGCAAGUCGAACGGCAGCACGGGAGCAAUCCUGGUGGCGAGUGGCGAACGGGUGAGUAAUGUAUCGGAACGUACCUUUCAGUGGGGGAUAACGUAGCGAAAGUUACGCUAAUACCGCAUAUUCUGUGAGCAGGAAAGCAGGGGAUCGCAAGACCUUGCGCUGAUUGAGCGGCCGAUAUCAGAUUAGCUAGUUGGUGAGGUAAAGGCUCACCAAGGCGACGAUCUGUAGCGGGUCUGAGAGGAUGAUCCGCCACACUGGAACUGAGACACGGUCCAGACUCCUACGGGAGGCAGCAGUGGGGAAUUUUGGACAAUGGGCGCAAGCCUGAUCCAGCCAUGCCGCGUGAGUGAAGAAGGCCUGGUGUAAG